UACGUAGGGUCCGAGCGUUGUCCGGAAUUACUGGGCGUAAAGCGUGCGCAGGCGGUGAGCUGUGUCCGAUGUGAAAGCCCCGGGCUUAACCUGGGAAUGGCAUUGGAAACUGGCUCGCUGGAGUGUGGCAGAGGGGGGUGGAAUUCCGCGUGUAGCAGUGAAAUGCGUAGAGAUGCGGAGGAACACCGAUGGCGAAGGCAGCCCCCUGGGCUAACACUGACGCUCAGGCACGAAAGCGUGGGGAGCAAACAGG
rnacentral:rRNA from 1 species